rnacentral:rRNA from 1 species
UACGGAGGGUGCAAGCGUUAAUCGGAAUUACUGGGCGUAAAGCGUGCGCAGGCGGUUAUGCAAGACAGAUGUGAAAUCCCCGGGCUUAACCUGGGAACUGCAUUUGUGACUGCAUAGCUAGAGUACGGUAGAGGGGGAUGGAAUUCCGCGUGUAGCAGUGAAAUGCGUAGAUAUGCGGAGGAACACCGAUGGCGAAGGCAAUCCCCUGGACCUGUACUGACGCUCAUGCACGAAAGCGUGGGGAGCAAACAGG